UACGUAGGGUGCGAGCGUUGUCCGGAAUUACUGGGCGUAAAGAGCUCGUAGGUGGUUUGUCGCGUUGUCCGUGAAAACUCACAGCUUAACUGUGGGCGUGCGGGCGAUACGGGCAGACUGGAGUACUGCAGGGGAGACUGGAAUUCCUGGUGUAGCGGUGGAAUGCGCAGAUAUCAGGAGGAACACCGGUGGCGAAGGCGGCUCACUGGACCGGUUCUGACGCUGAGGCGCGAAAGCGUGGGGAGCAAACGGG
rnacentral:rRNA from 1 species